UAACCUCAUAUUGUCCCUCCCUUCAGCCUGUUAGAAAUUCACCCAUAGCACUGGGUGAGAUGGACUGAGUGGUUUCAGAAGUGUUAAUAGUUUGAAAGCGCGCAACCAAGGUGUUUGUAGUUAUCCCAACAGCAGGAGAAAAUACUGAAAUGCCCACCACCUCAUACUAUGUCCAAAGCAUAGGAUGUGUUCUAAUGUUGAGGCCAAGGUUUUCAAAAGGAAAAAGCUCUUCAGUCUCUAAAAUAUGAGAUUCAGCUUCCUGAGUAUCUCUGUGCCUCCUGUGUAGUUUCAGAUGAUCAGAAUGAACAAAGCUUUCUUCUUUUCAACUGAUGCCACUGGAGAAUCCUUGUCUUGGCCUGAGUAGAGAGAGCACUUGCAGAACUGGUAGCUGUUUCCUGUUGAUUGUGCUUCGUGAAAUCAGUUCCUAUACAUCUUCAACUGUGCGCUGUCUUUAUCUUGAACUGAAGGCCACAGACUUAAUGUGUGGAGGAAAGAAAAAAGUGAUAAGAAAACAAAGCAAUGAGGACUGGAGGGGAAGAAAAGGACUUAAGUCUUUUGCUCUGACUUGGUAUGGAAUCAGAAACUUACUAAGGCAUUGGAAAGAGCAGGAGUGGAAAAACAUCACAGGGUCUUAAAAAAAAAAAAGUGAAAACUGCUUCCCACUCCUACUUUUUCUCCUGGUAUUGUGCUUGAAUUAUGCUUUCUGACCUGUUCCAAAGGAAGGGUGCUGGAAGGAGUUGAUGAUAAAAAAAAAAAAAGAACUUGUUCUCAUGUUUAUAAUUUCAUCAGUUGUGUGCAGUUUUAGCAUAUGCUUCUAGAUUCUUUGACUUGAAAGUCCACAUUGUUGUAAUUCAGUAGCUAUGUUGUAACACCAUCUGAAGGUAGAUGAACAUUUUUUUAUCAGCUAAUUGAGUAUUUUAAAUUUUAAGUAUGAAUUUAUAUCAUUAUUUGGGUUUGAGUCUUGUACCUUUGAUAGUUUAGAGUGCAUGCCUUUACCCAAUAACCUCUUUGCAUUUUCUCUACGUGCUAUUCUUAUGCAAAUAGCAAAUGCUGUUACUUAAUAAUGUGCAGUGAAUACAAUGGUUGACAUAAUAAUCGUGUAAGCUAGUAAACGUUGUAAAACUGAAAAAAAAAAUCUGCAGCCAUUAUGGCUGCAUUUUUGCAUAAUGUUUUUGUCAUUGGGAAAGCUAUCGAGAGACAAAAUUCCUCAAGAUGUUGUAGCAGCUGGCAAGGUCUCCAUGGUUACAUUGGCAAGAAAUGUGGGAAAGUAUCAGAAGUAGUUUAUUGUUCAACAGUAAAAUAUCUUUGGGGAAUACUCCUUGAAUCAUCUGAGGAAAUGUCUUAAAGAAAAGCUUUAAUUAAAAUAAGGGAGAGAGAAGGUCUGUUUAUGGAAAAAUACUUAAAACUGAAUACGAGUAAUGACAAAGAUGUGUCUGGGACAUCCUUAAUCACAGGUUUGCAACUGAGCAGUGAUCUGACUGCAAUUUUAGACAAAGUGUUGCCUCUGCUUAUUUCAUGGAUUUGUGUGGCCUGACAUGAUCAGGGAAAUAAUCUUGUCUGAACCUGAGCAAAUAGUCACUGAGAUACUAAUUAUCCAGAUAAGAUUGUUCAUUUAUAUACUGUGGGGUAUUAAACGCUCCUUGCUUCCU
rnacentral:lncRNA from 1 species